rnacentral:lncRNA from 1 species
AUGCUCAAUGACAUCACGCCCCCCAGUUUGGGAACCACUGGUUCAGAGGAACCUUGGGAGAAACGUUUAGAGGAACUUCUCACCCUCCAUCACAAACACCAGCGAACCCACGUCUCCCUCUUUGAUGAUGCAGGCAUCCUUCCCGUAGUCCACUGGGUACAUGCAGUCCACGAUCUCCUGGAUCUGAGACAGCUCCAGGUUCUUCAUGAAGUCGUUAUCCAGGAUGGCCUCCUUUAUCAGCUCCUUGGACCUGAGGAGAACCAGGAACCAUUAGAACCACCAGUCUGUAGAUUCUGAGCUGCUUAAAUCCUGGAGAAAAGGAAGAAGCUGCUGCUGAUGAUGAUGAUGAUGAGGAGGAGGAGACGGAGGAGAGCCAGAGCUCCUCCGUCUGCAGCCUGAGUCGAUGUGAGCAGCAAAAAGUGUGAGAAACAAAGUUCUGAGGAGGAGGAGGAGGAAGACGGGAAGCUACGACGACACACGAGCAGCAGCGGAAAGAGACGAGUCAUCUUUAUCACCUCCUUCUCUGGCGCUCGUCAGUUUGAGCGCACCAGCAUCUCAUCUUCAGGCUCCUCAUCAUCAGUCACCAGCUACACACACACACACACGUCCUCUGUGAGCAUCCUCUCCAUCUUCAACGUCAUCAUAUUUACUUUCAUCUUCAUCAUACACUUAAUCAUCUUCAUCAUCAUCUUCAUCAAAGUCAGAUAACUUCAUUCAUCC